GACAGAGGGUGCAAACGUUGUUCGGAAUUACUGGGCGUAAAGCGCGUGUGAGCGGCUAAGUAAGUCGGGCGUGAAAUCCCACGGCUCAACCGUGGAAGUGCACUCGAAACUGCAUAGCUAGAGUCCUGGAGAGGAAGGUGGAAUGCUUGGUGUAGAGGUGAAAUUCGUAGAUAUCAAGCGGAACACCGGUGGCGAAGGCGGCCUUCUGGACAGUGACUGACGCUGAGACGGCGAAAGCGUGGGGAGCAAACAGG
rnacentral:rRNA from 1 species